AAAAUAUUGAGCCAAAGAAGCAGCUUGGACACUAAGCAUGAUUUCCAAAGUAUACCCCAAAAAUCUGCAACCUCUGAUGCACAUCCACAACUAAUACCGUCCUUACCAAAUAGAACCAGUACUUUAACGGAUAGGAGCUGGAAGAAUUCCGAGGAAGAGGAGUACAUGUGGGAUGAUGUAAAUAAUGCAGCUAAAGACCGGUGGGCAUCUGAGGAUU
rnacentral:misc_RNA from 1 species